GCGGGCCUGGUGCAGCGGUAGAGCCUACUGUCUGUAACCGGAAGGUCCCGGCCUCCCGGGUUCGAGCCCCAGCCUCUGCA
rnacentral:tRNA from 7 species